UACGGAGGGUGCGAGCGUUAAUCGGAAUUACUGGGCGUAAAGCGCACGCAGGUGGUCGGGUAAGUCGGAUGUGAAAGCCCUGGGCUUAACCUGGGAACUGCAUUCGAUACUGUCCGGCUAGAGUAUGGGAGAGGGAAGCGGAAUUUCCGGUGUAGCGGUGAAAUGCGUAGAUAUCGGAAGGAACACCAAUGGCGAAGGCAGCUUCCUGGCCCAAUACUGACGCUCAGGUGCGAAAGCGUGGGGAUCAAACAGGG
rnacentral:rRNA from 1 species